GCAGCGUCAAACCCCGAUUUCUUUUUCCCAAUAGAAAUACAUAUUCAUCUAGAAAAAGUAAAUUUUCCUAAAUCGAAAAGACUACGUACGACCCAACGAAUGCUGGAUUUUUACUGGUGCACACAAAUUUAAUACACCUCAAAAUGCAACACAUUCAAAUCAAAAUUGUCCAAAAGCAAAAGGUAACUGUGAGUAACUAAAAAGAACACCAAAAAAGAUUAACACAUUUGCAUAGAUACAUCAUGGAAACUAUUCGUCCAAUGUUUUGCAGCUUUUGCUUACAUUGUUUGUUUCUUUACAGACAAAACCAGAGAGUCCUCUCAAUAUGUGUAAGCUUCCACUUUCACUACUGGUACAUAAACAUCGGAUUGAUGUCAACAUUUUGUUAUUUACCUUGGCUUUGGUUGUGUAGCAAAAGAGAGCAAGGGUUAAAUGAGUCUAUGGUGUAAUGGACUAACCAGAAACAUGGUCUGUGACCGACGCAGCAUCUCAGUCAUUAGUUAUCCCAUGACUGAACCUGUUAAUCAACACAAUGUCUGAUGAGGCCAUCCAAGUAGAGGUUCCCAUAGUUAGGCGCGGUCCGACUACCCGGAGUGGAACCAGGGCUUUGCGAGAAGGUUUCACCAAGGCUGUCCAACAAAUCCUUGAUCGAGAUGGACAAACUGACCAGGACCAGCUGCUGAUUGAGGAGAUGGUCCAGUUGAAGAUUCAAGAUCAAGCCGGCCCAACGGAGGUUCAGGACGCGACCGGCCCGAUCCAGUUCAGACUCAACCAAGCCGGACGUCUCAUUUCCACAUCCGAGCUUGGACCAGAUCCCAUUUCCAUUUCUUCCACUCUAACUCUUCAUGGUUCUGAGAUCUAGCCGACAUCAGAAGGAUUGGUAUGUUGUUGUACUCUUUUUCCUUAUCGGGUUUUGUCCCACUAGGUUUUCCCGAAAGGUUUUAACGAGGCAACAUGCAAGCAUACUAUGAAUUCUGGUUUAGGCAUUCUCAAACCGACAACCAGUUGUCUGGUUUAUCUUUAUUUUUAUUUAUUUAUUUGGUUAAGACUUUGGGCUUUUGUUUCAGCCUCAUUUUCGGCCAGCAUGUUUUAAGGCCUUUUUUAUUUUGAGACCCAUCAAAUUUUCAUUUAAUUGCAUUUAAUUUUCUUGGCUUGCACUUCAAGAUUUUCCAUAUUUAAAAAAAAAAAAAAAAUUGUACUUUCCAUUUUUUAAAUUUCGAUUUUUACUUUCCUUUCUUUUGAAUCAGAUUUUCAUUUAAUUGCAUUCAAUUUGUCUUGGCUUGCACUUCAAGUUUUUCCUAUUUAAAAAAAAAAGAAGGAAGUUUUACAUUCAUUACAUGCCUUAGAUAAAUAUUAUUUCAUUCUCUUUUGUUUCCUUGCAAAUCACUUGUUUCUUUUCUUUCUCUGGUCGCAGGAGACAUGGGCGACCUAGAUGGAGCACCAACACAAGCCGAGAUCAAUGCUCAGCUGUUGGCUAACCAUGCUGAACUCCAAGCCGCACUGGCUACGGUGACUGAGCAGCUGGCUCAGAUAACAGGGAGAAACCGAGCUAAUGCUCCACAGCCAAGGAGGAGAAACCAACCCAUUCCAGAAGAGCAACAAUCCCAAUCCAGUGAGGACAACUCGGACACUGACCGUACCGAACCGGACGAGCCGCGGCGUGAACGAGCCGGACGUGGGAACCGACGGGAGUAUCGGGUCCAAGGCGAUGCAAGCCCGGUCCGAAGGAGAUUCCGAGACGAUGAAGUAGCUUGGCAAGGAGGCAAGGAUCUCAAACUUACUCCUCCAACCUUUGCUGGAAAGGUUGACCCGGACGCCUACAUUGAAUGGGAGAGGCGCAUGGAGUACAUCUUUGAAUACUACCGCUAUACCGAGGCCAAGAAGAUCGCCUUAGCCGCAGCCCAACUGACGGACAAUGCCCUAACCUGGUGGGACAGGGAAGUAGCCGAGGUCGGCAGGGUCUAUAGGAUUGAGACUUGGGAUGAGAUGCGAGCUAAGCUCCGUGCAAGGUAUAUUCCCUCAUACUAUCAGCGGGACUUACUAAAACGUUUUCGCAAGUUGUCUCAGGGUACUAGGUCCGUAGAGGAGUACUUUGAGGAGUUUGAGGCUCUCAAGAACAAGCUCAGGACGCGCGAGACCGAAGAGGUUAUGAUGGCUCAGUUCUUGGAAGGCCUUCAAGACCGCAUCGCUCGCAAGGUGGAGAGGCAGACCUACGUCAACUUCAAUGAUCUCCUCCACUAUGCCAUUCAGGCCGAGCAGCACAUUAAAAGGAAGAACGCCUCUAGUGCCAGGAACAAGACGCCAUGGGCUUCAUCCGGAUCCAAGGGGGCUGAGAAGAACAAAUCCAUUGAAGUGGAAAACCGGUUCAAGAAGAGCCAAACCGACCAGUCCAAACCAGGUUCAUCCGAACCAGGUAAGGGACAAACACAAGCUCAAAGAACUCGUGAUAUUACUUGUUUCAAAUGUCAGGGGAAGGGGCACUACGCCAGGGACUGUCCGAACAAGCGUGUCAUGAUCCUUAAGGCAGACGGCGAGUAUGAGUCCCAAGACGAGGCCGAUGUAGAGAUGGCUGACUCAGGAGACGAGAUAGUGGACUAUGCUGAAACUGGUGAGCUACUGGUGGUCAGACGAGCUCUCAGUGCUCUCUUUGAUCCAGAAACCGUCCAACGAGAGAACAUCUUCCAUACUAGAUGUAGCGUGGAAGGCAAGGUAUGUAGUCUAAUUAUUGAUGGUGGCUCUUGCACUAACGUGGCCAGCAGGUACCUUGUUGAGAAGUUAGGACUAGCAAAGUUGCCACACCCCAGGCCAUACAAGCUCAAGUGGCUCAAUGAUGAGACGGAGCUUAAAAUCUCGGAGCAAGUUGUUGUUACCUUUUGUAUUGGUAAGUACCAGGACCAGGUGAAGUGUGAUGUGGUUCCUAUGCAAGCCGGCCAUCUACUGUUAGGGAGGCCUUGGCAGUUUGACAAGGAGACUAUUCACCAUGGGAGGACUAACAUCUACAGCUUUACCCACAACAACAAGAAGCACAGCCUGGCUCCUCUCAGUCCACAAGAGGUGUACGAGAUGCAGAGGGCCAUGGAUCAGUCUGGAUUGUUUAGUAAAACUAACCUUUACAUCUCUUCUAGUAAAUUGAUUAAAUCAUUGCAGCAAGACACACAGGUGCUACUAAUGGUUUUCAAGGAAGGUUGUUUUGCAGGUUUUGAGGCACCAGAUUGUCCAGCUGAGAUGCAAGGACUAAUGGACCAGUACAAGGACGUGUUCCCUGAAGAGAUACCAGCCGGCUUACCACCCCUCCGAGGCAUCGAACAUCAGAUAGACUUUGUGCCAGGCGCCCCACUUCCAAACCGAGCCGCAUACCGAGUCAAUCCGGAGGAGGCUAAGGAGCUGGAGAGACAGGUCCAAGACCUCAUGGACAAGGGGUACAUUCGAGAGAGUCUCAGCCCAUGUGCAGUACCCGUCCUAUUGGUGCCUAAGAAGGAUGGAACAUGGCGUAUGUGUGUUGAUUGCCGAGCCAUCAACAACAUCACCAUAAAAUAUCGGUACCCCAUUCCUAGACUUGAUGAUAUGUUAGAUGAACUGAGUGGUUCCACCGUGUUUUCCAAGAUUGAUCUUAGGAGUGGCUAUCACCAAGUUCGGAUGAAGGAGGGAGACGAGUGGAAGACUGCUUUCAAGACCAAGCAAGGCUUGUAUGAGUGGCUGGUGAUGCCCUUUGGUCUUACCAACGCCCCUAGUACCUUCAUGAGGCUUAUGAACGAGGUUCUAAGGCCUUACAUUGGUAAAUUUGUGGUUGUCUAUUUUGAUGACAUAUUGAUCUAUAGUCAGUGCUUAUCCGAUCACAUUAGUCAUGUAGAACAGGUUUUGAAGGCUCUCAGGCAGGAAGGACUCUUUGCCAAUCUCAAGAAGUGUGUAUUUUGCACUGACCAGUUAAUAUUUUUAGGCUUUGUUGUGAGUUCACAGGGUUUGAAGGUCGAUGAGGAGAAGAUCAAGGCCAUCCAAGACUGGCCCACACCGACCACUAUUGGGCAAGUCCGAAGUUUCCAUGGCCUAGCCAGCUUCUAUAGGCGGUUUGUCAAGGACUUCAGCACCAUUGCUGCACCCAUGACCUCAGUGAUCAAGAAGAAUGUAUCCUUUGUUUGGGGCCCUGCCCAAGAGGAGUCUUUCAACAAGCUUAAAUAUAGUUUAACUCAUGCACCCGUUCUUACACUCCCUGAUUUUAAUAAAACUUUUGAGAUUGAGUGUGAUGCAUCAGGUACAGGCAUUGGAGCUGUCCUCACUCAAGGGGGCCGACCAGUGGCAUUCUUUAGUGAGAAACUGAGUGGAGCUGCCCUCAACUACCCAACCUAUGACAAAGAGCUAUACGCUCUAGUAAGGUCCCUUGAAACUUGGCAGCAUUACCUUUUGUCUAAGGAAUUUGUUAUUCAUACAGAUCAUGAGACACUUAAGCACUUGAGGGGACAGACCACACUCAAGAAGAGGCACGCCAGAUGGCUCGAGUUCGUGGAGACCUUUCCCUAUGUGAUCAAGUACAAGAAGGGCAAGGACAAUGUGGUGGCCGAUGCACUGUCCCGGAGACACACUCUCAUUGUGACCAUGGAGGCCAAGAUCAUGGGUUUCGAGCAUAUUAAAGAAUCUUAUGCCACUGAUCUUGAUUUUAAUGAAGUUUUCAGGAACACUGAGAAGGGGGCUUUUGGAGCAUACUACCAGCACGAGGGGUUCCUGUUCAAGGGAAAGAGGCUGUGCAUUCCCAAAGGAGCCAUGAGGGAACUGCUGGUUCGGGAGGCCCAUGGUGGCGGCCUCAUGGGACACUUUGGUCGGGACAAGACCUUGAGUGUCCUAACUGAACAUUUCUUUUGGCCAAACAUGAAGAGGGAUGUGGAGAGCAUAUGCGCCAAGUGCACUACUUGCCUCAAAACCAAGUCCAGGUCACAUCCUUACGGUUUACAAAUGCCAUUACCGAUUCCUAACCACCCUUGGGUAGACAUUUCUAUGGACUUUGUGCUGGGUUUACCCAAGAUAAACCACAAGGAUUCCAUUUUUGUAGUGGUAGACAGGUUCUCCAAGAUGGCCCAUUUCAUAGCCUGUAACACCACUAAUGAUGCCACUCAGACCGCCGACCUAUUCUUCAAAGAAGUGGUCCGACUACAUGGUGUUCCUCGAACCAUUGUGUCUGACCGUGAUGCCAAGUUCCUCAGCCAUUUCUGGAGGACACUAUGGGGCAAGUUCGGAACCAAGCUACUAUUCUCGACCACUUGCCAUCCCCAGACCGACGGCCAGACUGAGGUAGUAAACCGUACGCUUUCUCAACUGUUGAGAGCUACGGUCGGUAAGAAUUUAAGAAAUUGGUUGUCUUGUUUGCCUUUUGUUGAGUUUGCUUAUAACCAUGCUAGGCACUCUACUACUAACCUGUCACCUUUUGAGAUUGUUUAUGGGUUUCAGCCAGAGACUCCUUUAGACUUCACCGAACUGCCCAGCUCCAUGUACCGCAGUCGUGAUGGAGUCGCCAAGGCAGAGUUUGUUAAGAAUAUGCACCUAAAGGUCAAGGAGAGGAUAGAAGCCAAGGCGGCUAAGGUCAAGGCCAAGUAUGACCAGAAGAGGAAGGAGGUACUGUUCGAACCCGGGGACUUGGUGUGGUUACACAUGCGGCCCGAGAGGUUUCCAGAAGCCCGGAAGUCCAAGCUCUCUCCUCGUGGGACAGGACCAUUCCGCAUCCUAAAGAAGAUCAACGACAACGCCUAUAUCCUUGACCUCCCUGCUGAAUUUAAAAUUUCACAUACUUUCAAUGUCUCGGAUUUGUCUCCUUUCCAUGCAGAUAGUGAUGACUUUGCAGAUGAUGGUGUUCUGAGGCCAGAACCUCUUCAAGAGGGAGGGAAUGAUGAGGCCAUCCAAGUAGAGGUUCCCAUAGUUAGGCGCGGUCCGACUACCCGGAGUGGAACCAGGGCCUUGCGAGAAGGUUUCACCAAAGCUGUCCAGCAUAUCCUUGAUCAAGAUGGACAGACUGACCAGGACCAGCUGCUGAUUGAGAAGAUGGUCCAGUUGAAGAUUCAAGAUCAAGCCGGCCCAAAGGAGGUUCAGGACGCGGCCGACCCGAUCCAGUUCAGACUCAACCAAGCCGGACUUCUCAUCUCCACAUCCGAGCUUGGUCCAGACUCAGUUUCCAUUUCAUCCACUCCAACUCUUUCCGGUUCUGAGAUCUAGCCGACCACCAAGGGGAGUAGCAUGUGUUGUACUCUUUUUCCUCACCAGGUUUUGUCCCAUUGGGUUUUCUUGGUAAGGUUUUAAUGAGGCAACAUGCAAGCAUGCUAUUAGCCUUGGUCUAGGCCUUCUCAAACCGACAACCAGAUGUCUGGUUUAUUUUAAUUUAUUUGGUUAAGACUUUGGGCUAAUGUUUCAGCCUCAUUUUCGGCCAGCUUGUUUAAGGCCUUUUAUCUUUGAGUCUCAUAAGGGGUAAACCCUAUAUAACUCCAUGAAGUUGGCGAUUUUUGCCUAAGUCUUUUAUGAAAUAAUUUUGCCUUUGCAAACCUAAAACCCUAAGUCUUUUUCUGUGAGAAACAAGAGAGAGCAGCCGAAUCUUAUCAAGCUUCAAACCACCAAGCUUGUGGCGAUUCUUCACCUCCAUUCCAUCCAUCGAUUUGCCUUGAGAGUGAUACACAUCCAGCAAGUCAAAUCCCAUAGCUAUCCACCUCCAUCCACUGUUCUUGUUGAGAGAGAUACACAUCCAGCAACAAGGAUCCAUCCCCCAUAUUUCUAUCCUUCUCUUGUUUUGUUUCAGUUUGCAUCAUAUAGUUCUAGAUUUCCAUUCAAUAUAAAAACUCAUAAAAAGUCAUAUUUGUUUAUGUUCUUAACAUAUCAAUUAGUUUCCUUUCAGUUCAUCAUUUUAGAUCCAUAAAAAAACUCAUAAAAAUAUCCCUUAUCUGUUUCAGGAACCAGAUCGGCCAUCGUCCGCUCCAUCGCAUCCGCCCAGCCGCCCCAUAGCCGUCGACCCGUCCUGUCCAGUCCGAGUUCUUAAACCUCUGUCCGCCCAUUUGUAUGGUCUGAAUCUCAGCCUGUAUCAUUUGGGUAUCAGAGCUCAAAGCUCCUACACCUACGGUUGUAUCCUAUCCUUUUACUUUUGUUAUUCAAAAAAAAAAAAAAAUUGAACUUGUUCUUGCUGUUCUUGGCGAGUUCAAAACUUGUUUGUUUGCAUAACUUUGAUCCAUUUUUGUGCAUCCAUCAUUCUAGUAACUUGUUUUUGGCAUCCAUCGAUUUUUACUUUCCUUUUUUGAUCAAAUUUUCAUUUAAUUGCAUUUAAUUUUCUUGGCUUGCACUUCAAGAUUUUCCAUAUUUAAAAAAAAAAAAAAAAUUGUACUUUCCAUUUUUUAAAUUUCGAUUUUUACUUUCCUUUCUUUUGAAUCAGAUUUUCAUUUAAUUGCAUUCAAUUUGUCUUGGCUUGCACUUCAAGUUUUUCCUAUUUAAAAAAAAAAGAAGGAAGUUUUACAUUCAUUACAUGCCUUAGAUAAAUAUUAUUUCAUUCUCUUUUGUUUCCUUGCAAAUCACUUGUUUCUUUUCUUUCUCUGGUCGCAGGAGACAUGGGCGACCUAGAUGGAGCACCAACACAAGCCGAGAUCAAUGCUCAGCUGUUGGCUAACCAUGCUGAACUCCAAGCCGCACUGGCUACGGUGACUGAGCAGCUGGCUCAGAUAACAGGGAGAAACCGAGCUAAUGCUCCACAGCCAAGGAGGAGAAACCAACCCAUUCCAGAAGAGCAACAAUCCCAAUCCAGUGAGGACAACUCGGACACUGACCGUACCGAACCAGAAGAGCCGCGGCGUGAACGAGCCGGACGUGGGAACCGACGGGAGUAUCGGGUCCAAGGCGAUGCAAGCCCGGUCCGAAGAAGAUUCCGAGACGAUGAAGUAGCUUGGCAAGGAGGCAAGGAUCUCAAACUUACUCCCCCAACCUUUGCUGGAAAGGUUGACCCGGACGCCUACAUUGAAUGGGAGAGGCGCAUGGAGUACAUCUUUGAGUACUACCGCUAUACCGAGGCCAAGAAGAUCGCCUUAGCCGCAGCCCAACUGACGGACAAUGCCCUAACCUGGUGGGACAGGGAAGUAGCCGAGGUCGGCAGGGUCUAUAGGAUUGAGACUUGGGAUGAGAUGCGAGCUAAGCUCCGUGCAAGGUAUAUUCCCUCAUACUAUCAGCGGGACUUACUAAAACGUUUUCGCAAGUUGUCUCAGGGUACUAGGUCCGUAGAGGAGUACUUUGAGGAGUUUGAGGCUCUCAAGAACAAGCUCAGGACGCGCGAGACCGAAGAGGUUAUGAUGGCUCAGUUCUUGGAAGGCCUUCAAGACCGCAUCGCUCGCAAGGUGGAGAGGCAGACCUACGUCAACUUCAAUGAUCUCCUCCAUUAUGCCAUUCAGGCCGAGCAGCACAUUAAAAGGAAGAACGCCUCUAGUGCCAGGAACAAGACGCCAUGGGCUUCAACCGGGUCCAAGGGGGCUGAGAAGAACAAAUCCAUUGAAGUGGAAAACCGGUUCAAGAAGAGCCAAACCGACCAGUCCAAACCAGGUUCAUCCGAACCAGGUAAGGGACAAACACAAGCUCAAAGAACUCGUGAUAUUACUUGUUUCAAAUGUCAGGGGAAGGGGCACUACGCCAGGGACUGUCCGAACAAGCGUGUCAUGAUCCUUAAGGCAGACGGCGAGUAUGAGUCCCAAGACGAGGCCGAUGUAGAGAUGGCUGACUCAGGAGACGAGAUAGUGGACUAUGCUGAAACUGGUGAGCUACUGGUGGUCAGACGAGCUCUCAGUGCUCUCUUUGAUCCAGAAACCGUCCAACGAGAGAACAUCUUCCAUACUAGAUGUAGCGUGGAAGGCAAGGUAUGUAGUCUAAUUAUUGAUGGUGGCUCUUGCACUAACGUGGCCAGCAGGUACCUUGUUGAAAGGUUAGGACUAGCAAAAUUGCCACACCCCAGGCCAUACAAGCUCAAGUGGCUCAAUGAUGAGACGGAGCUUAAAAUCUCGGAGCAAGUUGUUGUUUCCUUUUGUAUUGGUAAGUACCAGGACCAGGUGAAGUGUGAUGUGGUUCCUAUGCAAGCCGGCCAUCUACUGUUAGGGAGGCCUUGGCAGUUUGACAAGGAGACUAUUCACCAUGGGAGGACUAACAUCUACAGCUUUACCCACAACAACAAGAAGCACAGCCUGGCUCCUCUCAGUCCACAAGAGGUGUACGAGAUGCAGAGGGCCAUGGAUCAGUCUGGAUUGUUUAGUAAAACUAACCUUUACAUCUCUUCUAGUAAAUUGAUUAAAUCAUUGCAGCAAGACACACAGGUGCUACUAAUGGUUUUCAAGGAAGGUUGUUUUGCAGGUUUUGAGGCACCAGAUUGUCCAGCUGAGAUGCAAGGACUAAUGGACCAGUACAAGGACGUGUUCCCUGAAGAGAUACCAGCCGGCUUACCACCCCUCCGAGGCAUCGAACAUCAGAUAGACUUUGUGCCAGGCGCCCCACUUCCAAACCGAGCCGCAUACCGAGUCAAUCCGGAGGAGGCUAAGGAGCUGGAGAGACAGGUCCAAGACCUCAUGGACAAGGGGUAUAUUCGAGAGAGUCUCAGCCCAUGUGCAGUACCCGUCCUAUUGGUGCCUAAGAAGGAUGGAACAUGGCGUAUGUGUGUUGAUUGCCGAGCCAUCAACAACAUCACCAUAAAAUAUCGGUACCCCAUUCCUAGACUUGAUGAUAUGUUAGAUGAAUUGAGUGGUUCCACCGUGUUUUCCAAGAUUGAUCUUAGGAGUGGCUAUCACCAAGUUCGGAUGAAGGAGGGAGACGAGUGGAAGACUGCUUUCAAGACCAAGCAAGGCUUGUAUGAGUGGCUGGUGAUGCCCUUUGGUCUUACCAACGCCCCUAGUACCUUCAUGAGGCUUAUGAACGAGGUUCUAAGGCCUUACAUUGGUAAAUUUGUGGUUGUCUAUUUUGAUGACAUAUUGAUCUAUAGUCAGUGCUUAUCCGAUCACAUUAGUCAUGUAGAACAGGUUUUGAAGGCUCUCAGGCAGGAAGGACUCUUUGCCAAUCUCAAGAAGUGUGUAUUUUGCACUGACCAGUUAAUAUUUUUAGGCUUUGUUGUGAGUUCACAGGGUUUGAAGGUCGAUGAGGAGAAGAUCAAGGCCAUCCAAGACUGGCCCACACCGACCACUAUUGGGCAAGUCCGAAGCUUCCAUGGCCUAGCCAGCUUCUAUAGGCGGUUUGUCAAGGACUUCAGCACCAUUGCUGCACCCAUGACCUCAGUGAUCAAGAAGAAUGUAUCCUUUGUUUGGGGCCCUGCCCAAGAGGAGUCUUUCAACAAGCUUAAAUAUAGUUUAACUCAUGCACCCGUUCUUACACUCCCUGAUUUUAAUAAAACUUUUGAGAUUGAGUGUGAUGCAUCAGGUACAGGCAUUGGAGCUGUCCUCACUCAAGGGGGCCGACCAGUGGCAUUCUUUAGUGAGAAACUGAGUGGAGCUGCCCUCAACUACCCAACCUAUGACAAAGAGCUAUGCGCUCUAGUAAGGAACACUGAGAAGGGGGCUUUUGGGCCAUACUACCAGCAUGAGGGGUUCCUGUUCAAGGGAAAGAGGCUGUGCAUUCCCAAAGGAGCCAUGAGGGAACUGUUGGUUCGGGAGGCCCAUGGUGGCGGCCUCAUGGGACACUUUGGUCGGGACAAGACCUUGAGUGUCCUAACUGAACAUUUCUUUUGGCCAAACAUGAAGAGGGAUGUGGAGAGCAUAUGCGCCAAGUGCACUACUUGCCUCAAAACCAAGUCCAGGUCACAUCCUUACGGUUUACAAAUGCCAUUACCGAUUCCUAACCACCCUUGGGUAGACAUUUCUAUGGACUUUGUGCUGGGUUUACCCAAGAUAAACCACAAGGAUUCCAUUUUUGUAGUGGUAGACAGGUUCUCCAAGAUGGCCCAUUUCAUAGCCUGUAACACCACUAAUGAUGCCACUCAGACCGCCGACCUAUUCUUCAAAGAAGUGGUCCGACUACAUGGUGUUCCUCGAACCAUUGUGUCUGACCGUGAUGCCAAGUUCCUCAGCCAUUUCUGGAGGACACUAUGGGGCAAGUUCGGAACCAAGCUACUAUUCUCGACCACUUGCCAUCCCCAGACCGACGGCCAGACUGAGGUAGUAAACCGUACGCUUUCUCAACUGUUGAGAGCUACGGUCGGUAAUAAUUUAAGAAAUUGGUUGUCUUGUUUGCCUUUUGUUGAGUUUGCUUAUAACCAUGCUAGGCACUCUACUACUAACCUGUCACCUUUUGAGAUUGUUUAUGGGUUUCAGCCAGAGACUCCUUUAGACUUCACCGAACUGCCCAGCUCCAUGUACCGCAGUCGUGAUGGAGUCGCCAAGGCAGAGUUUGUUAAGAAUAUGCACUUAAAGGUCAAGCAGAGGAUAGAAGCCAAGGCGGCUAAGGUCAAGGCCAAGUAUGACCAGAAGAGGAAGGAGGUACUGUUUGAACCCGGGGACUUGGUGUGGUUACACAUGCGGCCCGAGAGGUUUCCAGAAGCCCGGAAGUCCAAGCUCUCUCCUCGUGGGACAGGACCAUUCCGCAUCCUAAAGAAGAUCAACGACAACGCCUAUAUCCUUGACCUCCCUGCUGAAUUUAAAAUUUCACAUACUUUCAAUGUCUCGGAUUUGUCUCCUUUCCAUGCAGAUAGUGAUGACUUUGCAGAUGAUGGUGUUCUGAGGCAAGAACCUCUUCAAGAGGGAGGGAAUGAUGAGGCCAUCCAAGUAGAGGUUCCCAUAGUUAGGCGCGGUCCGACUACCCGGAGUGUAACCAGGGCCUUGCGAGAAGGUUUCACCAAAGCUGUCCAGCAUAUCCUUGAUCAAGAUGGACAGACUGACCAGGACCAGCUGCUGAUUGAGAAGAUGGUCCAGUUGAAGAUUCAAGAUCAAGCCGGCCCAAAGGAGGUUCAGGACGCGGCCGACCCGAUCCAGUUCAGACUCAACCAAGCCGGACUUCUCAUCUCCACAUCCGAGCUUGGUCCAGACUCAGUUUCCAUUUCAUCCACUCCAACUCUUUCCGGUUCUGAGAUCUAGCCGACCACCAAGGGGAGUAGCAUGUGUUGUACUCUUUUUCCUCACCAGGUUUUGUCCCAUUGGGUUUUCUUGGUAAGGUUUUAAUGAGGCAACAUGCAAGCAUGCUAUUAGCCUUGGUCUAAGCCUUCUCAAACCGACAACCAGAUGUCUGGUUUAUUUUAAUUUAUUUGGUUAAGACUUUGGGCUAAUGUUUCAGCCUCAUUUUCGGCCAGCUUGUUUAAGGCCUUUUUAUCUUUGAGUCUCAUAAGGGGUAAACCCUAUAUAACUCCAUGAAGUUGGCGAUUUUUGCGUAAGUCUUUUAUGAAAUAAUUUUGCCUUUGCAAACCUAAAACCCUAAGUCUUUUUCUGUGAGAAACAAGAGAGAGCAGCCGAAUCUUAUCAAGCUUCAAACCACCAAGCUUGUGGCGAUUCUUCACCUCCAUUCCAUCCACCGAUUUGCCUUGAGAGUGAUACACAUCCAGCAAGCCAAAUCCCAUAGCUAUCCACCUCCAUCCACUGUUCUUGUUGAGAGAGAUACACAUCCAGCAACAAGGAUCCAUCCCCCAUACUUCUAUCCUUCUUUUGUUUUGUUUUAUCUUUCAUCAUAUAGUUCUAGCUUUUUCCAUUCAUUAUAAAAACUCAUAAAAAGUCAUAUUUGCUUAUGUUCUUCAUUGAUCAUAUUGUUUUCUUCCUGUUCCUUAUUUUGAUUCAUAAAAACUCAUAAAAUAGCAUCCUUUUGUUUCAGGAACCAGAUCGGCCAACUCCCAGCCCAUCGCGACCGUCUAGCCGUCCCAUAGCCGUCCGUCCGUCCUGUCCAGUCCGAGUUCCCGAACCUCAGACUGUCCGUCCGUACAGACUGUUUCCCGGCCUGUAUCAUUUUUGGUAUCAGAGCUCAAAGCUCCUACACCUUCGGUUGUAUCCUAUCCUUGCUACUUUUGUUAUUUGGUUCAUCAUCUUGUCUUUCAAAAUUUUUGUUCUUGCUGUUCUUGGCGAGUUCAACUUGUUUUCUUUUUCUGCAUAUCUUUUGAUCCGAUUUUAUGCAUCUUUCAUUCAAGUAAUAUGUUUUUGGCAUCAAUCGAUUUUCACUUUCCUUUUUGAUCAGAUUUUCCAUUUAAUUGCAUUUAAUUUUCUUGGCUUGCACUUCAAGUUCUUUCCAUUUAAAAAAAAAAAAAAGAAAUAUUGUUCUUUCCAUUUUUUUUAAUUUUCCCUUCCCGUGGACUGUCCGUGUAUUGAUCCGUAAUAUUGUUCUUUCCAUUUUUUUUAAUUUUCGAAACUUAACUUUAAAAAAAAAAAAAGGAAGUUUUACAUUCAUUGAUCAUUGCAUAUAUUUCCCUUUCUCUUUGAUCCUUGCAGAUCACUCUUUCUUCUUCCUCUCUUGUCGCAGGAGACAUGGGAGACCUAAAUGGAGCACCUACACAAGCCGAGAUCAAUGCUCAGCUGAUGGCUAACCAUGCUGAACUCCAAGCCGCACUGGCUACUGUGACUGAGCAGCUGGCUCAUAUAGCAGGGAGGGACCGAGCUAAUGUACCACGGCCAAGGAGGAGAAACCAACCCGUUCCAGAGGAACAACAGUCCCAAUCCAGUGAGGACAACUCGGACACUGACCGUACCGAACCAGAAGAGCCGCGGCGUGAACGAGCCGGACGUGGGAACCGACGGGAGUAUCGGGUCCAAGGCGAUGCAAGCCCGGUCCGAAGAAGAUUCCGAGACGAUGAAGUAGCUUGGCAAGGAGGCAAGGAUCUCAAACUUACUCCCCCAACCUUUGCUGGAAAGGUUGACCCGGACGCCUACAUUGAAUGGGAGAGGCGCAUGGAGUACAUAUUUGAGUACUACCGCUAUACCGAGGCCAAGAAGAUCGCCUUAGCCGCAGCCCAACUGACGGACAAUGCCCUAACCUGGUGGGACAGGGAAGUAGCCGAGGUCGGCAGGGUCUAUAGGAUUGAGACUUGGGAUGAGAUGCGAGCUAAGCUCCGUGCAAGGUAUAUUCCCUCAUACUAUCAGCGGGACUUACUAAAACGUUUUCGCAAGUUGUCUCAGGGUACUAGGUCCGUAGAGGAGUACUUUGAGGAGUUGGAGGCUCUCAAGAACAAGCUUAGGACGCGCGAGACCGAAGAGGUUAUGAUGGCUCAGUUCUUGGAAGGCCUUCAAGACCGCAUCGCUCGCAAGGUGGAGAGGCAGACCUACGUCAACUUCAAUGAUAUCCUCCAUUAUGCCAUUCAGGCCGAGCAGCACAUUAAAAGGAAGAACGCCUCUAGUGCCAGGAACAAGACGCCAUGGGAUUCAACCGGGUCCAAGGGGGCUGAGAAGAACAAAUCCAUUGAAGUGGAAAACCGGUUCAAGAAGAGCCAAACCGACCAGUCCAAACAAGGUUCAUCCGAACCAGGUAAGGGACAAACACAAGCUCAAAGAACUCGUGAUAUUACUUGUUUCAAAUGUCAGGGGAAGGGGCACUACGCCCGGGACUGUCCGAACAAGCGUGUCAUGAUCCUUAAGGCAGACGGCGAGUAUGAGUCCCAAGAUGAGGCCGAUGUAGAGAUGGCUGACUCAGGAGACGAGAUAGUGGACUAUGCUGAAACUGGUGAGCUACUGGUGGUCAGACGAGCUCUCAGUGCUCUCUUUGAUCCAGAAACCGUCCAACGAGAGAACAUCUUCUAUACUAGAUGUAGCGUGGAAGGCAAGGUAUGUAGUCUAAUUAUUGAUGGUGGCUCUUGCACUAACGUGGCCAGCAGGUACCUUGUUGAAAGGUUAGGACUAGAAAAAUUGCCACACCCCAGGCCAUACAAGCUCAAGUGGCUCAAUGAUGAGACAGAGCUUAAAAUCUCGGAGCAAGUUGUUGUUUCCUUUUGUAUUGGUAAGUACCAGGACCAGGUGAAGUGUGAUGUGGUUCCUAUGCAAGCCGGACAUCUACUGUUAGGGAGGCCUUGGCAGUUUGACAAGGAGACUAUUCACCAUGGGAGGACUAACAUCUACAGCUUUACCCACAACAACAAGAAGCACAGCCUGGCUCCUCUCAGUCCACAAGAGGUGUACGAAAUGCAGAGGGCCAUGGAUCAGUCUGGAUUGUUUAGUAAAACUAACCUUUACAUCUCUUCUAGUAAAUUGAUUAAAUCAUUGCAGCAAGACACACUGGUGCUACUAAUGGUUUUCAAGGAAGGUUGUUUUGCAGGUUUUGAGGCACCAGAUUGUCCCGCUGAGAUGCAAGGACUAAUGGACCAGUACAAGGACGUGUUCCCUGAAGAGAUACCAGCCGGCUUACCACCCCUCCGAGGCAUCGAACAUCAGAUAGACUUUGUGCCAGGCGCCCCACUUCCAAACCGAGCCGCAUACCGAGUCAAUCCGGAGGAGGCUAAGGAGCUGGAGAGACAGGUCCAAGACCUCAUGGACAAGGGGUACAUUCGAGAGAGUCUCAGCCCAUGUGCAGUACCCGUCCUAUUGGUGCCUAAGAAGGAUGGAACAUGGCGUAUGUGUGUUGAUUGCCGAGCCAUCAACAACAUCACCAUAAAAUAUCGGUACCCCAUUCCUAGACUUGAUGAUAUGUUAGAUGAACUGAGUGGUUCCACCGUGUUUUCCAAGAUUGAUCUUAGGAGUGGCUAUCACCAAGUUCGUAUGAAGGAGGGAGACGAGUGGAAGACUGCUUUCAAGACCAAGCAAGGCUUGUAUGAGUGGCUGGUGAUGCCCUUUGGUCUUACCAACGCCCCUAGUACCUUCAUGAGGCUUAUGAACGAGGUUUUAAGGCCUUACAUUGGUAAAUUUGUGGUUGUCUAUUUCGAUGACAUAUUGAUCUAUAGUCAGUGCUUAUCCGAUCACAUUAGUCAUGUAGAACAGGUUUUGAAGGCUCUCAGGCAGGAAGGACUCUUUGCCAAUCUCAAGAAGUGUGUAUUUUGCACUGACCAGUUAAUAUUUUUAGGCUUUGUUGUGAGUUCACAGGGUUUGAAGGUCGAUGAGGAGAAGAUCAAGGCCAUCCAAGACUGGCCCACACCGACCACUAUUGGGCAAGUCCGAAGCUUCCAUGGCCUAGCCAGCUUCUAUAGGCGGUUUGUCAAGGACUUCAGCACCAUUGCUGCACCCAUGACCUCAGUGAUCAAGAAGAAUGUAUCCUUUGUUUGGGGCCCUGCCCAAGAGGAGUCCUUCAAAAAGCUUAAAUAUAGUUUAACUCAUGCACCCGUUCUUACACUCCCUGAUUUUAAUAAAACUUUUGAGAUUGAGUGUGAUGCAUCAGGUACAGGCAUUGGAGCUGUCCUCACUCAAGGGGGCCGACCAGUGGCAUUCUUUAGUGAAAAACUGAGUGGAGCUGGCCUCAACUACCCAACCUAUGACAAAGAGCUAUACGCUCUAGUAAGGUCCCUUGAAACUUGGCAGCAUUACCUUUUAUCUAAGGAAUUUGUUAUCCAUACAGAUCAUGAGACACUUAAGCACUUGAGGGGACAGACCACACUCAAGAAGAGGCACGCCAGAUGGCUCGAGUUCGUGGAGACCUUUCCCUAUGUGAUCAAGUACAAGAAGGGCAAGGACAAUGUGGUGGCCGAUGCACUGUCCCGGAGACACACUCUCAUUGUGACCAUGGAGGCCAAGAUCAUGGGUUUCGAACAUAUUAAAGAAUCUUAUGCCACUGAUCUUGAUUUUAAUGAAGUUUUCAGGAACACUGAGAAGGGGGCUUUUGGGCCAUACUACGAGCAUGAGGGGUUUCUGUUCAAGGGAAAGAAACUGAUCUUGAUUUUAAUGAAGUUUUCAGGAACACUGAGAAGGGGGCUUUUGGAGCAUACUACCAGCACGAGGGGUUCCUGUUCAAGGGCAAGAGGCUGUGCAUUCCCAAAGGAGCAAUGAGGGAACUGCUGGUUCGGGAGGCCCAUGGUGGCGGCCUCAUGGGACACUUUGGUCGGGACAAGACCCUGAGUGUCCUAACUGAACAUUUCUUUUGGCCAAACAUGAAGAGGGAUGUGGAGAGCAUAUGCGCCAAGUGCACUACUUGCCUCAAAACCAAGUCCAGGUCACAUCCUUACGGGUUACAAAUGCCAUUACCGAUUCCUAACCACCCUUGGGUAGACAUUUCUAUGGACUUUGUGCUGGGUUUACCCAAGAUAAACCACAAGGAUUCCAUUUUUGUAGUGGUAGACAGGUUCUCCAAGAUGGCCCAUUUCAUAGCCUGUAACACCACUAAUGAUGCCACUCAGACCGCCGACCUAUUCUUCAAAGAAGUGGUCCGACUACAUGGUGUUCCUCGAACCAUUGUGUCUGACCGUGAUAUCAAGUUCCUCAGCCAUUUCUGGAGGACACUAUGGGGUAAGUUCGGAACAAAGCUACUAUUCUCGACCACGUGCCAUCCCCAGACCGACGGCCAGACUGAGGUAGUAAACCGUACGCUUUCUCAACUGUUGAGAGCUACGGUCGGUAAGAAUUUAAGAAAUUGGUUGUCUUGUUUGCCUUUUGUUGAGUUUGCUUAUAACCAUGCUAGGCACUCUACUACUAACCUGUCACCUUUUGAGAUUGUUUAUGGGUUUCAGCCAGAGACUCCUUUAGACUUCACCGACCUGCCCAGCUCCAUGUACCGCAGUCGUGAUGGAGUCGCCAAGGCAGAGUUUGUUAAGAAUAUGCACUUAAAGGUCAAGGAGAGGAUAGAAGCCAAGGCGGCUAAGGUCAAGGCCAAGUAUAACCAGAAGAGGAAGGAGGUACUGUUCGAACCCGGGGACUUGGUGUGGUUACACAUGCGGCCCGAGAGGUUUCCAGAAGCCCGGAAGUCCAAGCUCUCUCCUCGUGGGACAGGACCAUUCCGCAUCCUAAAGAAGAUCAACGACAACGCCUAUAUCCUUGACCUCCCUGCUGAAUUUAAAAUUUCACAUACUUUCAAUGUCUCGGAUUUGUCUCCUUUCCAUGCAGAUAGUGAUGACUUUGCAGAUGAUGGUGUUCUGAGGCCAGAACCUCUUCAAGAGGGAGGGAAUGAUGAGGCCAUCCAAGUAGAGGUUCCCAUAGUUAGGCGCGGUCCGACUACCCGGAGUGGAACCAGGGCCUUGCGAGAAGGUUUCACCAAAGCUGUCCAGCAUAUCCUUGAUCAAGAUGGACAGACUGACCAGGACCAGCUGCUGAUUGAGAAGAUGGUCCAGUUGAAGAUUCAAGAUCAAGCCGGCCCAAAGGAGGUUCAGGACGCGGCCGACCCGAUCCAGUUCAGACUCAACCAAGCCGGACUUCUCAUCUCCACCUCCGAGCUUGGUCCAGACUCUGUUUCCAUUUCAUCCACUCCAACUCUUUCCGGUUCUGAGAUCUAGCCGACCACCAAGGGGAGUAGCAUGUGUUGUACUCUUUUUCCUCACCAGGUUUUGUCCCAUUGGGUUUUCUUGGUAAGGUUUUAAUGAGGCAACAUGCAAGCAUGCUAUUAGCCUUGGUCUAAGCCUUCUCAAACCGACAACCAGAUGUCUGGUUUAUUUUAAUUUAUUUGGUUAAGACUUUGGGCUAAUGUUUCAGCCUCAUUUUCGGCCAGCUUGUUUAAGGUCUUUUAUCUUUGAGUCUCAUAAGGGGUAAACCCUAUAUAACUCCAUGAAGUUGGCGAUUUUUGCCUAAGUCUUUUAUGAAAUAAUUUUGCCUUUGCAAACCUAAAACCCUAAGUCUUUUUCUGUGAGAAACAAGAGAGAGCAGCCGAAUCUUAUCAAGCUUCAAACCACCAAGCUUGUGGCGAUUCUUCACCUCCAUUCCAUCCACCGAUUUGCCUUGAGAGUGAUACACAUCCAGCAAGCCAAAUCCCAUAGCUAUCCACCUCCAUCCACUGUUCUUGUUGAGAGAGAUACACAUCCAGCAACAAGGAUCCAUCCCCCAUACUUCUAUCUUUCUUUGUUUUGUUUUAUCUUUCAUCAUAUAGUUCUAGCUUUUUCCAUUCAUUAUAAAAACUCAUAAAAAGUCCUAUUUGCUUCUGUUCUUCAUUGAUCAUAUUGUUUUUCUUCCUGUCCCUUAUUUUGAUUUAUAAAAACUCAUAAAAAUAGCAUCCUUUUUGUUUCAGGAACUAGAUCGGCCAACUCUCAGCCCAUCGCGACCGUCUAGCCGUCCCAUAGCCGUCCGUCCAUCCUGUCCAGUCCGAGUUCCCGAACCUCAGACUGUCCGUCCGUGCAGACUGUUUCCCGGCCUGUAUCAUUUUGGUAUCAGAGCUCAAAGCUCCUACACCUUCGGUUGUAUCCUAUCCUUGCUACUUUUGUUAUUUGGUUCAUCAUCUUGUCUUUCAAAAUUUUUGUUCUUGCUGUUCUUGGCGAGUUCAACUUGUUUUCUUUUUCUGCAUAUCUUUUGAUCCGAUUUUAUGCAUCUUUCAUUCAAGUAAUAUGUUUUUGGCAUCAAUCGAUUUUCACUUUCCUUUUUGAUCAGAUUUUCCAUUUAAUUGCAUUUAAUUUCUUGGCUUGCACUUCAAGUUCUAUACAUUUUAUAAAAAAAAAAGAAAUAUUGUUCUUUCCAUUUUUUUUAAUUUUCGAAACUUAACUUUAAAAAAUAAAAAAAUAAAAAGGGAAGUUUUACAUUCAUUGAUCAUUGCAUAUAUUUCCCUUUCUCUUUGAUUCUUGCAGAUCACUUUUUCUUCUUCCUCUCUUGUCGCAGGAGACAUGGGAGACCUAAAUGGAGCACCUACACAAGCCGAGAUCAAUGCUCAGCUGAUGGCUAACCAUGCUGAACUCCAAGCCGCACUGGCUACUGUGACUGAGCAGCUGGCUCAUAUAGCAGGGAGGGACCGAGCUAAUGUACCAUGGCCAAGGAGGAGAAACCAACCCGUUCCAGAGGAACAACAGUCCCAAUCCAGUGAGGACAACUCGGACACUGACCGUACCGAACCAGAAGAGCCGCGGCGUGAACGAGCCGGACGUGGGAACCGACGGGAGUAUCGGGUCCAAGGCGAUGCAAGCCCGGUCCAAAGAAGAUUCCGAGACGAUGAAGUAGCUUGGCAAGGAGGCAAGGAUCUCAAACUUACUCCCCCAACCUUUGCUGGAAAGGUUGACCCGGACGCCUACAUUGAAUGGGAGAGGCGCAUGGAGUACAUCUUUGAGUACUACCGCUAUACCGAGGCCAAGAAGAUCGCCUUAGCCGCAGCCCAACUGACGGACAAUGCCCUAACCUGGUGGGACAGGGAAGUAGCCGAGGUCGGCAGGGUCUAUAGGAUUGAGACUUGGGAUGAGAUGCGAGCUAAGCUCCGUGCAAGGUAUAUUCCCUCAUACUAUCAGCGGGACUUACUAAAACGUUUUCGCAAGUUGUCUCAGGGUACUAGGUCCGUAGAGGAGUACUUUGAGGAGUUUGAGGCUCUCAAGAACAAGCUCAGGACGCGCGAGACCGAAGAGGUUAUGAUGGCUCAGUUCUUGGAAGGCCUUCAAGACCGCAUCGCUCGCAAGGUGGAGAGGCAGACCUACGUCAACUUCAAUGAUCUCCUCCAUUAUGCCAUUCAGGCCGAGCAGCACAUUAAAAGGAAGAACGCCUCUAGUGCCAGGAACAAGACGCCAUGGGCUUCAUCCGGAUCCAAGGGGGCUGAGAAGAACAAAUCCAUUGAAGUGGAAAACCGGUUUAAGAAGAACCAAACCGACCAGUCCAAACCAGGUUCAUCCGAACCAGGUAAGGGACAAACACAAGCUCAAAGAACUCGUGAUAUUACUUGUUUCAAAUGUCAGGGGAAGGGGCACUACGCCAGGGACUGCCCGAACAAGCGUGUCAUGAUCCUUAAGGCAGACGGCGAGUAUGAGUCCCAAGACGAGGCCGAUGUAGAGAUGGCUGACUCAGGAGACGAGAUAGUGGACUAUGCUGAAACUGGUGAGCUGCUGGUGGUCAGACGAGCUCUCAGUGCUCUCUUUGAUCCAGAAACCGUCCAACGAGAGAACAUCUUCCAUACUAGAUGUAGUGUGGAAGGCAAGGUAUGUAGUCUAAUUAUUGAUGGUGGCUCUUGCACUAACGUGGCCAGCAGGUACCUUGUUGAAAAGUUAGGGUUAGCAAAGUUGCCACACCCCAGGCCAUACAAGCUCAAGUGGCUCAAUGAUGAGACGUAUCUUAAAAUCUCGGAGCAAGUUGUUGUUUCCUUUAGUAUUGGUAAGUACCAGGACCAGGUGAAGUGUGAUGUGGUUCCUAUGCAAGCCGGCCAUCUGCUGUUAGGGAGGCCUUGGCAGUUUGACAAGGAGACCAUUCACCAUGGGAGGACUAACAUCUACAGCUUUACCCACAACAACAAGAAGCACAGCCUGGCUCCUCUAAGUCCACAAGAGGUGUACGAGAUGCAGAGGGCCAUGGAUCAGUCUGGAUUGUUUAGUAAAACUAACCUUUACAUCUCUUCUAGUAAAUUGAUUAAAUCAUUGCAGCAAGACACACAGGUGCUACUAAUGGUUUUCAAGGAAGGUUGUUUUGCAGGUUUUGAAGUACCAGAUUGUCCAGCUGAGAUGCAAGGACUAAUGGACCAGUACAAGGACGUGUACCCUGAAGAGAUACCAGCCGGCUUACCACCCCUCCGAGGCAUCGAACAUCAGAUAGACUUUGUGCCAGGCGCCCCACUUCCAAACCGAGCCGCAUACCGAGUCAAUCCGGAGGAGGCUAAGGAGCUGGAGAGACAGGUCCAAGACCUCAUGGACAAGGGGUAUAUUCGAGAGAGUCUCAGCCCAUGUGCAGUACCCGUCCUACUGGUGCCUAAGAAGGAUGGAACAUGGCGUAUGUGUGUUGAUUGCCGAGCCAUCCACAACAUCACCAUAAAAUAUCGGUACCCCAUUCCUAGACUUGAUGAUAUGUUAGAUGAACUGAGUGGUUCCACAGUGUUUUCCAAGAUUGAUCUUAGGAGUGGUUAUCACCAAGUUCGGAUGAAGGAGGGAGACGAGUGGAAGACUGCUUUCAAGACCAAGCAAGGCUUGUAUGAGUGGCUGGGGAUGCCCUUCGGUCUUACCAACGCCCCUAGUACCUUCAUGAGGCUUAUGAACGAGGUUCUAAGGCCUUACAUUGGUAAAUUUGUGGUUGUCUAUUUUGAUGACAUAUUGAUUUAUAGUCAGUGCUUAUCAGAUCACAUUAGUCAUGUAGAACAGGUUUUGAAGGCUCUCAGGCAGGAAGGACUCUUUGCCAAUCUCAAGAAGUGUGUAUUUUGCACUGACCAGUUAAUAUUUUUAGGCUUUGUUGUGAGCUCACAGGGUUUGAAGGUCGAUGAGGAGAAGAUCAAGGCCAUCCAAGACUGGCCCACACCGACCACUAUUGGGCAAGUCCGAAGUUUCCAUGGCCUAGCCAGCUUCUAUAGGCGGUUUGUCAAGGACUUCAGCACAAUUGCUGCACCCAUGACCUCAGUGAUCAAGAAGAAUGUAUCCUUUGUUUGGGGCCCUGCCCAAGAGGAGUCUUUCAACAAGCUUAAAUAUAGUUUAACUCAUGCACCCGUUCUUACACUCCCUGAUUUUAAUAAAACCUUUGAGAUUGAGUGUGAUGCAUCAGGUACAGGCAUUGGAGCUGUCCUCACUCAAGGGGGCCGACCAGUGGCAUUAUUUAGUGAGAAACUGAGUGGAGCCGCCCUCAACUACCCAACCUAUGACAAAGAGCUAUACGCUCUAGUAAGGUCCCUUGAAACUUGGCAGCAUUACCUUUUGUCUAAGGAAUUUGUUAUUCAUACAGAUCAUGAGACACUUAAGCACUUGAGGGGACAGACCACACUCAAGAAGAGGCACGCCAGAUGGCUCGAGUUCGUGGAGACCUUUCCCUAUGUGAUCAAGUACAAGAAGGGCAAGGACAAUGUGGUGGCAGAUGCACUGUCCCGGAGACACACUCUCAUUGUGACCAUGGAGGCCAAGAUCAUGGGUUUCGAACAUAUUAAAGAAUCUUAUGCCACUGAUCUUGAUUUUAAUGAAGUUUUCAGGAACACUGAGAAGGGGGCUUUAGGGCCAUACUACCAGCAUGAGGGGUUCCUGUUCAAGGGAAAGAAGGAACACUGAGAAGGGGGCUUUUGGAGCAUACUACCAGCACGAGGGGUUCCUGUUCAAGGGCAAGAGGCUGUGCAUUCCCAAAGGAGCCAUGAGGGAACUGCUGGUUCGGGAGGCCCAUGGUGGCGGCCUCAUGGGACACUUUGGUCGGGACAAGACCCUGAGUGUCCUAACUGAACAUUUCUUUUGGCCAAACAUGAAGAGGGAUGUGGAGAGCAUAUGCGCCAAGUGCACUACUUGCCUCAAAACCAAGUCCAGGUCACAUCCUUACGGUUUACAAAUGCCAUUACCGAUUCCUAACCACCCUUGGGUAGACAUUUCUAUGGACUUUGUGCUGGGUUUACCCAAGAUAAACCACAAGGAUUCCAUUUUUGUAGUGGUAGACAGGUUCUCCAAGAUGGCCCAUUUCAUAGCCUGUAACACCACUAAUGAUGCCACUCAGACCGCCGACCUAUUUUUCAAAGAAGUGGUCCGACUACAUGGAGUUCCUCGAACCAUUGUGUCUGACCGUGAUACCAAGUUCCUCAGCCAUUUCUGGAGGACACUAUGGGGCAAGUUCGGAACCAAGCUACUAUUCUCGACCACGUGCCAUCCCCAGACCAAUGGCCAGACUGAGGUAGUAAACCGUACGCUUUCUCAACUGUUGAGAGCUACGGUCGGUAAGAAUUUAAGAAAUUUGUUGUCUUGUUUGCCUUUUGUCGAGUUUGCUUAUAACCAUGCUAGGCACUCUACUACUAACCUGUCACCUUUUGAGAUUGUUUAUGGGUUUCAGCCAGAGACUCCUUUAGACUUCACCGAACUGCCCAGCUCCAUGUACCGCAGUCGUGAUGGGGCCGCCAAGGCAGAGUUUGUUAAGAAUAUGCACCUAAAGGUCAAGGAGAGGAUAGAAGCCAAGGCGGCUAAGGUCAAGGCCAAGUAUGACCAGAAGAGGAAGGAGGUACUGUUCGAACCCGGGGACUUGGUGUGGUUACACAUGCGACCCGAGAGGUUUCCAGAAGCCCGGAAGUCCAAGCUCUCGCCUCGUGGAGGGGACUUGGUGUGGUUACACAUGCGGCCCGAGAGGUUUCCAGAAGCCCGGAAGUCCAAGCUCUCUCCUCGUGGGACAGGACCAUUCCGCAUCCUAAAGAAGAUCAACGACAAUGCCUAUAUCCUUGACCUCCCUGCUGAAUUUAAAAUUUCACAUACUUUCAAUGUCUCGGAUUUGUCUCCUUUCCAUGCAGAUAGUGACGACUUUGCAGAUGAUGGUGUUCUGAGGCCAGAACCUCUUCAAGAGGGAGGGAAUGAUGAGGCCAUCCAAGUAGAGGUUCCCAUUGUUAGGCGCGGUCCGACUACCCGGAGUGGAACCAGGGCCUUGCGAGAAGGUUUCACCAAAGCUGUCCAGCAUAUCCUUGAUCAAGAUGGACAGACUGACCAGGACCAGCUGCUGAUUGAGAAGAUGGUCCAGUUGAAGAUUCAAGAUCAAGCCGGCCCAAAGGAGGUUCAGGACGCGGCCGACCCGAUCCAGUUCAGACUCAACCAAGCCGGACUUCUCAUCUCCACAUCCGAGCUUGGUCCAGACUCAGUUUCCAUUUCAUCCACUCCAACUCUUUCCGGUUCUGAGAUCUAGCCGACCACCAAAGGGAGUAGCAUGUGUUGUACUCUUUUUCCUCACCAGGUUUUGUCCCAUUGGGUUUUCUUGGUAAGGUUUUAAUGAGGCAACAUGCAAGCAUGCUAUUAGCCUUGGUCUAAGCCUUCUCAAACCGACAACCAGAUGUCUGGUUUAUUUUAAUUUAUUUGGUUUAGACUUUGGGCUAAUGUUUCAGCCUCAUUUUCGGCCAGCAUGUUUAAGGCCUUUUAUCUUUGAGACUCCUAAGGGGUAAACCCUAUAUAACUCCAUGAAGUUGGCGAUUUUUGCCUAAGUCUUUUAUGAAAUAAUUUUGCCUUUGCAAACCUAAAACCCUAAGUCUUUUUCAGUCUGGUUUAUUUUAAUUUAUUUGGUUUAGACUUUGGGCUAAUGUUUCAGCCUCAUUUUCGGCCAGCAUGUUUAAGGCCUUUUAUCUUUGAGACUCCUAAGGGGUAAACCCUAUAUAACUCCAUGAAGUUGGCGAUUUUUGCCUAAGUCUUUUAUGAAAUAAUUUUGCCUUUGCAAACCUAAAACCCUAAGUCUUUUUCUGUGAGAAACAAGAGAGAGCAGCCGAAUCUUAUCAAACAAAAGGAUGAUAUUGUUCCAUUCCAUCCACCGAUUUGCCUUGAGAGUGAUACACAUCCAGCAAGCCAAAUCCCAUAGCUAUCCACCUCCAUCCACUGUUCUUGUUGAGAGAGAUACACAUCCAGCAACAAGGAUCCAUCCUCCAUACUUCUAUCCUUCUUUUGUUUUGUUUUAUCUUUCAUCAUAUAGUUCUAGCUUUUUCCAUUCAUUAUCAAAACUCAAAAAAAGUCAUAUUUGCUUCUGUUCUUCAUUGAUCAUAUUGUUUUCUUCCUGUUCCUUAUUCGAUUCAUAAAAACUAAUAAAAAUAUCAUCCUUUUGUUUCAGGAGCCAAAUCGGCCAACUCCCAGCCCAUCGCGACCGUCUAGCCGUCCCAUAGCCGUCCGUCCGUCCUGUCCAGUCCGAGUUUCCGAACCUCAGACUGUCCGUCCGUGCAGACUGUUUCCCGGCCUGUAUCAUUUUGGUAUCAGAGCUCAAAGCUCCUACACCUUCGGUUGUAUCCUAUCCCUGCUACUUUUGUUAUUUGGUUCAUCAUCUUGUCUUUCAAAAUUUUUGUUCUUGCUGUUCUUGGCGAGUUCAACUUGUUUUUCUUUUUCUGCAUAUCUUUUGAUCCGAUUUUAUGCAUCUUUCAUUCAAGUAAUAUGUUUUUGGCAUCAAUCGAUUUUCACUUUCCUUUUUGAUCAGAUUUUCCAUUUAAUUGCAUUUAAUUUCUUGGCUUGCACUUCAAGUUCUAUACAUUUUAUAAAAAAAAAAGAAAUAUUGUUCUUUCCAUUUUUUUUAAUUUUCGAAACUUAACUUUAAAAAAUAAAAAAAUAAAAAGGGAAGUUUUACAUUCAUUGAUCAUUGCAUAUAUUUCCCUUUCUCUUUGAUUCUUGCAGAUCACUUUUUCUUCUUCCUCUCUUGUCGCAGGAGACAUGGGAGACCUAAAUGGAGCACCUACACAAGCCGAGAUCAAUGCUCAGCUGAUGGCUAACCAUGCUGAACUCCAAGCCGCACUGGCUACUGUGACUGAGCAGCUGGCUCAUAUAGCAGGGAGGGACCGAGCUAAUGUACCAUGGCCAAGGAGGAGAAACCAACCCGUUCCAGAGGAACAACAGUCCCAAUCCAGUGAGGACAACUCGGACACUGACCGUACCGAACCAGAAGAGCCGCGGCGUGAACGAGCCGGACGUGGGAACCGACGGGAGUAUCGGGUCCAAGGCGAUGCAAGCCCGGUCCAAAGAAGAUUCCGAGACGAUGAAGUAGCUUGGCAAGGAGGCAAGGAUCUCAAACUUACUCCCCCAACCUUUGCUGGAAAGGUUGACCCGGACGCCUACAUUGAAUGGGAGAGGCGCAUGGAGUACAUCUUUGAGUACUACCGCUAUACCGAGGCCAAGAAGAUCGCCUUAGCCGCAGCCCAACUGACGGACAAUGCCCUAACCUGGUGGGACAGGGAAGUAGCCGAGGUCGGCAGGGUCUAUAGGAUUGAGACUUGGGAUGAGAUGCGAGCUAAGCUCCGUGCAAGGUAUAUUCCCUCAUACUAUCAGCGGGACUUACUAAAACGUUUUCGCAAGUUGUCUCAGGGUACUAGGUCCGUAGAGGAGUACUUUGAGGAGUUUGAGGCUCUCAAGAACAAGCUCAGGACGCGCGAGACCGAAGAGGUUAUGAUGGCUCAGUUCUUGGAAGGCCUUCAAGACCGCAUCGCUCGCAAGGUGGAGAGGCAGACCUACGUCAACUUCAAUGAUCUCCUCCAUUAUGCCAUUCAGGCCGAGCAGCACAUUAAAAGGAAGAACGCCUCUAGUGCCAGGAACAAGACGCCAUGGGCUUCAUCCGGAUCCAAGGGGGCUGAGAAGAACAAAUCCAUUGAAGUGGAAAACCGGUUUAAGAAGAACCAAACCGACCAGUCCAAACCAGGUUCAUCCGAACCAGGUAAGGGACAAACACAAGCUCAAAGAACUCGUGAUAUUACUUGUUUCAAAUGUCAGGGGAAGGGGCACUACGCCAGGGACUGCCCGAACAAGCGUGUCAUGAUCCUUAAGGCAGACGGCGAGUAUGAGUCCCAAGACGAGGCCGAUGUAGAGAUGGCUGACUCAGGAGACGAGAUAGUGGACUAUGCUGAAACUGGUGAGCUGCUGGUGGUCAGACGAGCUCUCAGUGCUCUCUUUGAUCCAGAAACCGUCCAACGAGAGAACAUCUUCCAUACUAGAUGUAGUGUGGAAGGCAAGGUAUGUAGUCUAAUUAUUGAUGGUGGCUCUUGCACUAACGUGGCCAGCAGGUACCUUGUUGAAAAGUUAGGGUUAGCAAAGUUGCCACACCCCAGGCCAUACAAGCUCAAGUGGCUCAAUGAUGAGACGUAUCUUAAAAUCUCGGAGCAAGUUGUUGUUUCCUUUAGUAUUGGUAAGUACCAGGACCAGGUGAAGUGUGAUGUGGUUCCUAUGCAAGCCGGCCAUCUGCUGUUAGGGAGGCCUUGGCAGUUUGACAAGGAGACCAUUCACCAUGGGAGGACUAACAUCUACAGCUUUACCCACAACAACAAGAAGCACAGCCUGGCUCCUCUAAGUCCACAAGAGGUGUACGAGAUGCAGAGGGCCAUGGAUCAGUCUGGAUUGUUUAGUAAAACUAACCUUUACAUCUCUUCUAGUAAAUUGAUUAAAUCAUUGCAGCAAGACACACAGGUGCUACUAAUGGUUUUCAAGGAAGGUUGUUUUGCAGGUUUUGAAGUACCAGAUUGUCCAGCUGAGAUGCAAGGACUAAUGGACCAGUACAAGGACGUGUACCCUGAAGAGAUACCAGCCGGCUUACCACCCCUCCGAGGCAUCGAACAUCAGAUAGACUUUGUGCCAGGCGCCCCACUUCCAAACCGAGCCGCAUACCGAGUCAAUCCGGAGGAGGCUAAGGAGCUGGAGAGACAGGUCCAAGACCUCAUGGACAAGGGGUAUAUUCGAGAGAGUCUCAGCCCAUGUGCAGUACCCGUCCUACUGGUGCCUAAGAAGGAUGGAACAUGGCGUAUGUGUGUUGAUUGCCGAGCCAUCCACAACAUCACCAUAAAAUAUCGGUACCCCAUUCCUAGACUUGAUGAUAUGUUAGAUGAACUGAGUGGUUCCACAGUGUUUUCCAAGAUUGAUCUUAGGAGUGGUUAUCACCAAGUUCGGAUGAAGGAGGGAGACGAGUGGAAGACUGCUUUCAAGACCAAGCAAGGCUUGUAUGAGUGGCUGGUGAUGCCCUUCGGUCUUACCAACGCCCCUAGUACCUUCAUGAGGCUUAUGAACGAGGUUCUAAGGCCUUACAUUGGUAAAUUUGUGGUUGUCUAUUUUGAUGACAUAUUGAUUUAUAGUCAGUGCUUAUCAGAUCACAUUAGUCAUGUAGAACAGGUUUUGAAGGCUCUCAGGCAGGAAGGACUCUUUGCCAAUCUCAAGAAGUGUGUAUUUUGCACUGACCAGUUAAUAUUUUUAGGCUUUGUUGUGAGCUCACAGGGUUUGAAGGUCGAUGAGGAGAAGAUCAAGGCCAUCCAAGACUGGCCCACACCGACCACUAUUGGGCAAGUCCGAAGUUUCCAUGGCCUAGCCAGCUUCUAUAGGCGGUUUGUCAAGGACUUCAGCACAAUUGCUGCACCCAUGACCUCAGUGAUCAAGAAGAAUGUAUCCUUUGUUUGGGGCCCUGCCCAAGAGGAGUCUUUCAACAAGCUUAAAUAUAGUUUAACUCAUGCACCCGUUCUUACACUCCCUGAUUUUAAUAAAACCUUUGAGAUUGAGUGUGAUGCAUCAGGUACAGGCAUUGGAGCUGUCCUCACUCAAGGGGGCCGACCAGUGGCAUUAUUUAGUGAGAAACUGAGUGGAGCCGCCCUCAACUACCCAACCUAUGACAAAGAGCUAUACGCUCUAGUAAGGUCCCUUGAAACUUGGCAGCAUUACCUUUUGUCUAAGGAAUUUGUUAUUCAUACAGAUCAUGAGACACUUAAGCACUUGAGGGGACAGACCACACUCAAGAAGAGGCACGCCAGAUGGCUCGAGUUCGUGGAGACCUUUCCCUAUGUGAUCAAGUACAAGAAGGGCAAGGACAAUGUGGUGGCAGAUGCACUGUCCCGGAGACACACUCUCAUUGUGACCAUGGAGGCCAAGAUCAUGGGUUUCGAACAUAUUAAAGAAUCUUAUGCCACUGAUCUUGAUUUUAAUGAAGUUUUCAGGAACACUGAGAAGGGGGCUUUAGGGCCAUACUACCAGCAUGAGGGAUGAUCUUGAUUUUAAUGAAGUUUUCAGGAACACUGAGAAGGGGGCUUUUGGAGCAUACUACCAGCACGAGGGGUUCCUGUUCAAGGGCAAGAGACUGUGCAUUCCCAAAGGAGCCAUGAGGGAACUGCUGGUUCGGGAGGCCCAUGGUGGCGGCCUCAUGGGACACUUUGGUCGGGACAAGACCCUGAGUGUCCUAACUGAACAUUUCUUUUGGCCAAACAUGAAGAGGGAUGUGGAGAGCAUAUGCGCCAAGUGCACUACUUGCCUCAAAACCAAGUCCAGGUCACAUCCUUACGGUUUACAAAUGCCAUUACCGAUUCCUAACCACCCUUGGGUAGACAUUUCUAUGGACUUUGUGCUGGGUUUACCCAAGAUAAACCACAAGGAUUCCAUUUUUGUAGUGGUAGACAGGUUCUCCAAGAUGGCCCAUUUCAUAGCCUGUAACACCACUAAUGAUGCCACUCAGACCGCCGACCUAUUUUUCAAAGAAGUGGUCCGACUACAUGGAGUUCCUCGAACCAUUGUGUCUGACCGUGAUACCAAGUUCCUCAGCAAUUUCUGGAGGACACUAUGGGGCAAGUUCGGAACCAAGCUACUAUUCUCGACCACGUGCCAUCCCCAGACCAAUGGCCAGACUGAGGUAGUAAACCGUACGCUUUCUCAACUGUUGAGAGCUACGGUCGGUAAGAAUUUAAGAAAUUUGUUGUCUUGUUUGCCUUUUGUCGAGUUUGCUUAUAACCAUGCUAGGCACUCUACUACUAACCUGUCACCUUUUGAGAUUGUUUAUGGGUUUCAGCCAGAGACUCCUUUAGACUUCACCGAACUGCCCAGCUCCAUGUACCGCAGUCGUGAUGGGGCCGCCAAGGCAGAGUUUGUUAAGAAUAUGCACCUAAAGGUCAAGGAGAGGAUAGAAGCCAAGGCGGCUAAGGUCAAGGCCAAGUAUGACCAGAAGAGGAAGGAGGUACUGUUCGAACCCGGGGACUUGGUGUGGUUACACAUGCGACCCGAGAGGUUUCCAGAAGCCCGGAAGUCCAAGCUCUCGCCUCGUGGGACAGGACCAUUCCGCAUCCUAAAGAAGAUCAACGACAAUGCCUAUAUCCUUGACCUCCCUGCUGAAUUUAAAAUUUCACAUACUUUCAAUGUCUCGGAUUUGUCUCCUUUCCAUGCAGAUAGUGAUGACUUUGCAGAUGAUGGUGUUCUGAGGCCAGAACCUCUUCAAGAGGGAGGGAAUGAUGAGGCCAUCCAAGUAGAGGUUCCCAUUGUUAGGCGCGGUCCGACUACCCGGAGUGGAACCAGGGCCUUGCGAGAAGGUUUCACCAAAGCUGUCCAGCAUAUCCUUGAUCAAGAUGGACAGACUGACCAGGACCAGCUGCUGAUUGAGAAGAUGGUCCAGUUGAAGAUUCAAGAUCAAGCCGGCCCAAAGGAGGUUCAGGACGCGGCCGACCCGAUCCAGUUCAGACUCAACCAAGCCGGACUUCUCAUCUCCACAUCCGAGCUUGGUCCAGACUCAGUUUCCAUUUCAUCCACUCCAACUCUUUCCGGUUCUGAGAUCUAGCCGACCACCAAAGGGAGUAGCAUGUGUUGUACUCUUUUUCCUCACCAGGUUUUGUCCCAUUGGGUUUUCUUGGUAAGGUGUUAAUGAGGCAACAUGCAAGCAUGCUAUUAGCCUUGGUCUAAGCCUUCUCAAACCGACAACCAGAUGUCUGGUUUAUUUUAAUUUAUUUGGUUUAGACUUUGGGCUAAUGUUUCAGCCUCAUUUUCGGCCAGCAUGUUUAAGGCCUUUUAUCUUUGAGACUCCUAAGGGGUAAACCCUAUAUAACUCCAUGAAGUUGGCGAUUUUUGCCUAAGUCUUUUAUGAAAUAAUUUUGCCUUUGCAAACCUAAAACCCUAAGUCUUUUUCUGUGAGAAACAAGAGAGAGCAGCCGAAUCUUAUCAAGCUUCAAACAACCAAGCUUGUGGCGAUUCUUCACCUCCAUUCCAUCCACCGAUUUGCCUUGAGAGUGAUACACAUCCAGCAAGCCAAAUCCCAUAGCUAUCCACCUCCAUCCACUGUUCUUGUUGAGAGAGAUACACAUCCAGCAACAAGGAUCCAUCCUCCAUACUUCUAUCCAUCUUUNNNNNNNNNNNNNNNNNNNNNNNNNNNNNNNNNNNNNNNNNNNNNNNNNNNNNNNNNNNNNNNNNNNNNNNNNNNNNNNNNNNNNNNNNNNNNNNNNNNNNNNNNNNNNNNNNNNNNNNNNNNNNNNNNNNNNNNNNNNNNNNNNNNNNNNNNNNNNNNNNNNNNNNNNNNNNNNNNNNNNNNNNNNNNNNNNNNNNNNNNNNNNNNNNNNNNNNNNNNNNNNNNNNNNNNNNNNNNNNNNNNNNNNNNNNNNNNNNNNNNNNNNNNNNNNNNNNNNNNNNNNNNNNNNNNNNNNNNNNNNNNNNNNNNNNNNNNNNNNNNNNNNNNNNNNNNNNNNNNNNNNNNNNNNNNNNNNNNNNNNNNNNNNNNNNNNNNNNNNNNNNNNNNNNNNNNNNNNNNNNNNNNNNNNNNNNNNNNNNNNNNNNNNNNNNNNNNNNNNNNNNNNNNNNNNNNNNNNNNNNNNNNNNNNNNNNNNNNNNNNNNNNNNNNNNNNNNNNNNNNNNNNNNNNNNNNNNNNNNNNNNNNNNNNCCAUGGGAGACCUAAAUGGUGCACCAACACAAGCCGAGAUCAAUGCUCAGCUGAUGGCUAACCAUGCUGAACUCCAAGCCGCCCUGGCUACUGUGACUGAGCAGCUGGCUCAGAUAGCAGGAAGGGAUCGAGCUAAUGUUCCACGGCCAAGGAGGAGAAACCAACCCAUUCCGGAAGAACAACAGUCCCAAUCCAGUGAGGACAACUCGGACACUGACCAUACCGAACCAGAAGAGCCGCGGCGUGAACGAGCCGGACGUGGGAACCGACAGGAAUAUCGGGUCCAAGGCGAUGCAAGCCCGGUCCAAAGGAGAUUUAGAGACGAUGAAGUAGCUUGGCAGGGAGGCAAGGAUCUCAAACUUACUCCUCCGACCUUUGCUGGAAAGGUUGACCCGGACGCCUAUAUCGAAUGGGAGAGGCGCAUGGAGUACAUCUUUGAGUACUACCGCUAUACCAAGGCCAAGAAGAUCGCCUUAGCCGCAGCCCAACUGACGGACAAUGCCCUAACCUGGUGGGACAGGGAAGUAGCCGAGGUUGGCAGAGUCUAUAGGAUCGAGACUUGGGAUGAGAUGCGAGCUAAGCUCCGUGCAAGGUAUAUUCCCUCAUACUAUCAGCGGGACUUACUAAAACGUUUUCGCAAGUUGUCUCAGGGUACUAGGACCAUAGAGGAGUACUUUGAGGAGUUCGAGGCUCUCAAGAACAAGCUCAGGACGCGCGAGACCGAAGAGGUUAUGAUGACUCAGUUCUUGGAAGGCCUUCAAGACCGCAUCGCUCGCAAGGUGGAGAGGCAGACCUACGUCAACUUCAAUGAUCUCCUCCACUAUGCCAUACAGGCCGAGCAGCACAUUAAGAGGAAGAACGCCUCUAGUGCCAGGAACAAGACGCCAUGGGUUUCAUCCGGACCCAAGGGGGCUGAGAAGAACAAAUCCAUUGAAGUGGAAAACCGGUUCAAGAAGAACCAAACCGACCAGUCCAAACCAGGUUCAUCCGAACCAGGUAAGGGACAAACACAAGCUCAAAGAACUCGUGAUAUUACUUGUUUCAAAUGUCAGGGGAAGGGGCACUACGCCAGGGACUGCCCGAACAAGCGUGUCAUGAUCCUUAAGGCAGACGGCGAGUAUGAGUCCCAAGACGAGGCCGAUGUAGAGAUGGCUGAAUCAGGAGACGAGAUAGUGGACUAUGCUGAAACUGGUGAGCUGCUGGUGGUCAGACGAGCUCUCAGUGCUCUCUUUGAUCCAGAAACCGUCCAACGAGAGAACAUCUUCCAUACUAGAUGUAGUGUGGAAGGCAAGGUAUGUAGUCUAAUUAUUGAUGGUGGCUCUUGCACUAACGUGGCCAGCAGGUACCUUGUUGAAAAGUUAGGACUAGCAAAGUUGCCACACCCCAGGCCAUACAAGCUCAAGUGGCUCAAUGAUGAGACGGAGCUUAAAAUCUCGGAGCAAGUUGUUGUUUCCUUUAGUAUUGGUAAGUACCAGGACCAGGUGAAGUGUGAUGUGGUUCCUAUGCAAGCCGGCCAUCUGCUGUUAGGGAGGCCUUGGCAGUUUGACAAGGAGACCAUUCACCAUGGGAGGACUAACAUCUACAGCUUUACCCACAACAACAAGAAGCACAGCCUGGCUCCUCUAAGUCCACAAGAGGUGUACGAGAUGCAGAGGGCCAUGGAUCAGUCUGGAUUGUUUAGUAAAACUAACCUUUACAUCUCUUCGAGUAAAUUGAUUAAAUCAUUGCAGCAAGACACACAGGUGCUACUAAUGGUUUUCAAGGAAGGUUGUUUUGCAGGUUUUGAAGUACCAGAUUGUCCAGCUGAGAUGCAAGGACUAAUGGACCAGUACAAGGACGUGUUCCCUGAAGAGAUACCAGUCGGCUUACCACCCCUCCGAGGCAUCGAACAUCAGAUAGACUUUGUGCCAGGCGCCCCACUUCCAAACCGAGCCGCAUACCGAGUCAAUCCGGAGGAGGCUAAGGAGCUGGAGAGACAGGUCGAAGACCUCAUGGACAAGGGGUAUAUUCGAGACAGUCUCAGCCCAUGUGCAGUACCCGUCCUAUUGGUGCCUAAGAAGGAUGGAACAUGGCGUAUGUGUGUUGAUUGCCGAGCCAUCAACAACAUCACCAUAAAAUAUCUGUACCCCAUUCCUAGACUUGAUGAUAUGUUAGAUGAACUGAGUGGUUCCACAGUGUUUUCCAAGAUUGAUCUUAGGAGUGGUUAUCACCAAGUUCGGAUGAAAGAGGGAGACGAGUGGAAGACUGCUUUCAAGACCAAGCAAGGCUUGUAUGAGUGGCUGGUGAUGCCCUUCGGUCUUACCAACGCCCCUAGUACCUUCAUGAGGCUUAUGAACGAGGUUCUAAGGCCUUACAUUGGUAAAUUUGUGGUUGUCUAUUUUGAUGACAUAUUGAUUUAUAGUCAGUGCUUAUCAGAUCACAUUAGUCAUGUAGAACAGGUUUUGAAGGCUCUCAGGCAGGAAGGACUCUUUGCCAAUCUCAAGAAGUGUGUAUUUUGCACUGACCAGUUAAUAUUUUUAGGCUUUGUUGUGAGCUCACAGGGUUUGAAGGUCGAUGAGGAGAAGAUCAAGGCCAUCCAAGACUGGCCCACACCGACCACGAUUGGGCAAGUCCGAAGUUUCCAUGGCCUAGCCAGCUUCUAUAGGCGGUUUGUCAAGGACUUCAGCACCAUUGCUGCACCCAUGACCUCAGUGAUCAAGAAGAAUGUAUCCUUUGUUUGGAGCCCUGCCCAAGAGGAGUCUUUCAACAAGCUUAAAUAUAGUUUAACUCAUGCACCCGUUCUUACACUCCCUGAUUUUAAUAAAACUUUUGAGAUUGAGUGUGAUGCAUCAGGUACAGGCAUUGGAGCUGUCCUCACUCAAGGGGGCCGGCCAGUGGCAUUCUUUAGUGAGAAACUGAGUGGAGCUGCCCUCAACUACCCAACCUAUGACAAAGAGCUAUACGCUCUAGUAAGGUCCCUUGAAACUUGGCAGCAUUACCUUUUGUCUAAGGAAUUUGUUAUUCAUACAGAUCAUGAGACACUUAAGCACUUGAGGGGACAGACCACACUCAAGAAGAGGCACGCCAGAUGGCUCGAGUUCGUGGAGACCUUUCCCUAUGUGAUCAAGUACAAGAAGGGCAAGGACAAUGUGGUGGCAGAUGCACUGUCCCGGAGACACACUCUCAUUGUGACCAUGGAGGCCAAGAUCAUGGGUUUCGAACAUAUUAAAGAAUCUUAUGCCACUGAUCUUGAUUUUGAUGAAGUUUUCAGGAACACUGAGAGGGGGGCUUUAGGGCCAUACUACCAGCAUGAGGGGUUCCUGUUCAAGGGAAAGAGGCUGUGCAUUCCCAAAGGAGCCAUGAGGGAACUGCUGGUUCGGGAGGCCCAUGGUGGCGGCCUCAUGGGACACUUUGGUCGGGACAAGACCCUGAGUGUCCUAACUGAACAUUUCUUUUGGCCAAACAUGAAGAGGGAUGUGGAGAGCAUAUGCGCCAAGUGCACUACUUGCCUCAAAACCAAGUCCAGGUCACAUCCUUACGGUUUACAAAUGCCAUUACCGAUUCCUAACCACCCUUGGGUAGACAUUUCUAUGGACUUUGUGCUGGGUUUACCCAAGAUAAACCACAAGGAUUCCAUUUUUGUAGUGGUAGACAGGUUCUCCAAGAUGGCCCAUUUCAUAGCCUGUAACACCACUAAUGAUGCCACUCAGACCGCCGACCUAUUCUUCAAAGAAGUGGUCCGACUACAUGGUGUUCCUCGAACCAUUGUGUCUGACCGUGAUACCAAGUUCCUCAGCCAUUUCUGGAGGACACUAUGGGGCAAGUUCGGAACCAAGCUACUAUUCUCGACCACGUGCCACCCCCAGACCGACGGCCAGACUGAGGUAGUAAACCGUACGCUUUCUCAACUGUUGAGAGCUACGGUCGGUAAGAAUUUAAGGAAUUGGUUAUAUUGUUUGCCUUUUGUCGAGUUUGCUUAUAACCAUGCUAGGCACUCUACUACUAACCUGUCACCUUUUGAGAUUGUUUAUGGGUUUCAGCCAGAGACUCCUUUAGACUUCACCGAACUGCCCAGCUCCAUGUACCGCAGUCGUGAUGGGGCCGCCAAGGCAGAGUUUGUUAAGAAUAUGCACCUAAAGGUCAGGGAGAGGAUAGAAGCCAAGGCGGCUAAGGUCAAGGCCAAGUAUGACCAGAAGAGGAAGGAGGUACUGUUCGAACCUGGGGACUUGGUGUGGCUACACAUGCGGCCCGAGAGGUUUCCAGAAUCCCGGAAGUCCAAGCUCUCACCUCGUGGAACAGGACCAUUCCGCAUCCUAAAGAAGAUCAACGACAAUGCCUAUAUCCUUGACCUCCCUGCUGAAUUUAAAAUUUCACAUACUUUCAAUGUCUCGGAUUUGUCUCCUUUCCAUGCAGAUAGUGAUGACUUUGCAGAUGAUGGUGUUCUGAGGCCAGAACCUCUUCAAGAGGGAGGGAAUGAUGAGCAAACCUAAAACCCUAAGUCUUUUUCUGUGAGAAACAAGAGAGAGCAGCCGAAUCUUAUCAAGCUUCAAACCACCAAGCUUGUGGCGAUUCUUCACCUCCAUUCCAUCCACCGAUUUGCCUUGAGAGUGAUACACAUCCAGCAAGCCAAAUCCCAUAGCUAUCCACCUCCAUCCACUGUUCUUGUUGAGAGAGAUACACAUCCAGCAACAAGGAUCCAUCCCCCAUACUUCUAUCCAUCUUUUGUUUUGUUUUAUCUUGCAUCAUAUAGUUCUAGAUUUUUCCAUUCAUUAUAAAAAUCCAUAAAAAGUCAUAUUUGCUUCUGUUCUUCAUUAAUCAUAUUGUUUACUUUCUGUUCAUUAUUUGGUUCAUAAAAACUCAUAAAAAAAUAGCAUCCUUUUGUUUCAGGAACCAGAUCGGCCAUCUCCCACUCCAUCGCGUCCGUCUAGCCAUCCCAUAGCCGUCCGUCCGUCCUGUCCGGUCCGAGUUCUCGAACCUCAGACCGUCCGUCCGUGCAGACUGAUUCCCAGCCUGUAUCAACACGGACACACACGAACAGCCACGGACGUCCUGUGUGUGCUGGCGGACACCCACGGACGUUCUGUUUGUACUGAACAGACAGCCCACGUGGGCCAAAAUCACCCGAACAGUCCACGGGAAGGGCCAGCGUGCUGUCUAAGGACCAGCGUGCUGAUAUGUGUACUGAUGGACAGCCACGGACGUCCUGUGUGUGCUGAUGGACACACACGGACGUCCUGUGUGUGCUGAUGGACACACACAGACGUCCUGUGUGUGCUGACGGACACCCACGGACGUCCUGUGUGAGCUGGCGGCACCCACGGACAUCCUGUGUGCACUGAACAGACAGCCCACAUGGGCCAAAAUCACCCGAACAGUCCACGGGAAGGGUCAGCGUGCUGAGUCCAAGGACCAACGUGCUGAUAUGUGUACUGAUGGACAGCCACAGACGUCAUGUGUGUGCUGAUGGACACACACGGACAGCCACAGAUGACCUGUGUGUCCUGACGGACACACACGGACGUCCUGUGUGUGCUGACGGACACCAACGGAUGUCCUGUGUGUACUGAACAGACAGCCCACGUGGGCCAAAAUCACCCGAACAGUCCACGGGAAGGGCAGCGUGCUGAGUCCAAGGACCAGCGUGCUGAUAUGUGUAUUGAUGGACAGCCACAGACGUCUUGUGUGUGCUGACGGAGAAACACGGACACACACUGACACACACGGACAGCCAUGGAUGUCUUGUGUGUGCUGAUGGACAGCCACAGACGGCCUGUGUGUACUGAACAGACACCCCACAUGGGCCAAAAUCACCUGAACAGUCCACAGGAAAGGCCAGCGUGCUGAGUCCAAGGACCAGCGUGCUGAUAUGUGUACUGAUGAAUAGCCACAGACGUCCUGUGUGUGCUGACGGAGACACACAGACACACACUGACACACACGGACAGCCAUGGAUGUCUUGUGUGUGCUGAUGGACAGCCACAGACGUCCUGUGUGUACUGAACAGACAGCCCACAUGGGCCAAAAUCACCUGAACAGUCCAUGGGAAGGGUCAGCGUGCUGAGUCCAAGGACCAACGUGCUGAUAUGUGUACGGAUGGACAGCCACGGACGUCCUGUGUGUGCUGACGGACACACACGGACACACACGGACAGCCACAGACGACCUGUGUGUGCUGACGGACACACACGGACGUCCUGUGUGUGCUGACGGACACCCACGGACGUCCUGUGUGUGCUGGCGGACAGCCACGGACAUCCUGUGUGUACUGAACAGACAGCCCACGUGGGCCAAAAUCACCCAAACAGUCCACGAGAUGGCCCAUCGUGCUCAUUCCAAGGACCAACGUGCUGAUAUGUGCUGACGGACACACACGGACACACACACGGACAGCUACGGACGUUCUUUAUGUGCUGACAAACACACACGAACAUCAUGUGUGUGCUGACGGACACCCACGGACGUCAUGUGUGUACUGAACAGACAUCCCACGUGGGCCAAAACCACCCGAAGAGUCCACGGGAAGGGCCAGUGUGCUGAGUCCAAAGAACAGCAUGCUAAUAUGUGUACUGAUGGACAGCCAGGAACGGCCUGUGUGUCAUGACGAAAACACACGGACACACACGGACAGCCACGGACGUCCUAUGUGUGCUGACAGACAGCCACGAACGUCCUGUGUGUGCUGGCGGACACCCACGGACGUCCUGUGUGUACUGAACAAACAGCCCACGUGGGCCAAAAUCAUCCAAACAGCCCACGGGAUGGGCCAGCGUGCUGAGUUCAAGGACCAACGUGCUGAUAUGUGUACUGAUGGACAGCCACGGACGUCCUGUGUGUGCUGACGGAGACACAAGGACACACACGGACAGCCACAGACGUCCUAUGUGUGCUAACAGACACACAUGAACGUCCAGUGUGUGCUGACGGACAGCCACAGACGUCCUGUGUGUACUGAACAGACAGCCCACAUGGGCCAAAAUCACCCGAACAGUCCACGGGAAGGGUCAGCGUGCUGAGUCCAAGGACCAACGUGCUGCUAUGUGUACUGAUGGACAGCCACAUACGUCCUGUGUGUGCUGACAGACACACACGGACAACCACGGACGACCUGUGUGUGCUGACGGACACACACGGACGUCCUGUGUGUGCUGACGGACACCCACGGAUGUCCUGUGUGUACUGAAAACACAGCCCACGUGGGCCAAAAUCACCCGAACAGUCCAUGGGAAGGGCCAGCGUGCUGAGUCCAAGGACCAGCAUGCUGAUAUGUGUACUGAUGGACAGCCACAGACGUCAUAUGUGUGCUGACGGAUUCACACGGACACACACUGACACACACGGACAGCCAUGGAUGUCUUGUGUGUGCUGAUGGACAGCCACAGACGUUCUGUGUGUACUGAACAGACAGCCCACAUGGGCCAAAAUCACCUGAACAGUCCACGGGAAAGGCCAGCGUGCUGAGUCCAAGGACCAGCGUGCUGAUAUGUGUACUGAUGGACAGCCACGGACGUCCUGUGUGUGUUGACGGACACACACGGACACACACAGACCCACACGGACAGCCACAUACGUCCUAUGUGUGCUAACGGACAGCCACGAACAACCACGAACGUACUGUGUGUGCUGGCGGACACCCACGGACGUCAUGUGUGUACUGAACAAACAGCCCACGUGGGCCAAAAUUACCCAAACAGUCCCCGGGAUGGGCCAGCGUGCUUAGUCCAAGGACCAACGUGCUGAUAUGUGUACUGAUGGACAGCCACGGAUUUCCUGUGUGCUGACGGACAGACACGGACACACACGGACAGCCACAGACAUCCUAUGUGUGCUGACCAACACACACGAACAUCCUGUGUCUGCUGAUGGACACCCACGGAUGUCUUGUGUGUACUGAACAGACAGCCCACAUGGGCCAAAAUCACCCAAACAUUCCACAGGACGGGCCAGCGUGCUGAGUCCAAGGACCAACGUGCUGAGUCCAAGGACCAACGUGCUGAUAUGUGUACUGAUGGACAGCCACGGACAUCCUGUGUGUGCUGACGGACACAGACGGACACACACGAACACACACGAACAGCCACAGACGUCCUGUGUGUGCUGGCGGACACCCACAGACAUUCUGUGUGCAUUGAACAGACAGCCCACGUGGGCAAAAUCACCCAAACAGUCCACGGGAAGGGCCAGCGUGCUGAGUCCAAGGACCAGCAUGCUGAUAUGUCUACUGAUGGACGGCCAUGAACGUCCUGUAUGUGUAGACGGACACACACGGACACACACUGACACACACUGACAGCCAUAGAUGUCUUGUGUGUGCUGACAGAUAGACACUGACAGCCACGGACGUCCUGUGUUUGCUGGCGGACACCCACCGACAUCCUGUGUGUACUGAACAAACAGCCCACGUGGGCCAAAAUAACCCAAACAGUCCACGGAAAGGGCCAGCGUGCUGAGUCCGAGGACCAGCGUGCUGAUAUGUGUACUGAUGGACAGCCACGGAUGUCCUGUGUGUGCUGAUGGACACACACGGACACACACGGACGUCCUGUGUGCUGACGGACACACACAAACGUCCUGGGUGUGCUGACGGACAGCCACGGACGUCCUGUGUGUGUUGGCGGACACCCACGGACGUCCUGUUUGUACUGAACAGACAGCCCACGUGGGCCAAAAUCACCCAAACAAUCAACGGGAAGGGCCAGCAUGCUGAGUCCAAAGACCAACGUGCUGAUAUGUGUACUGAUGGGCAGCCACAGACGUCCUGUGUGUGCUGACGGAAACACACGGACACACACGGACAGCCACAGACAUCCUGUGUGUGCUGGCGGACACCCACGGACGUCCUGUGUGUACUGAACAGACAGCCCACGUAGGCCAAAAUCACCCGAACAGUCCAUGGGAAGGGUCAGCGUGCUGAGUCCAAGGACCAACGUGCUGAUAUGUGUACUGAUGGAUAACCACGGACGUCCUCUGUGUGUUAAAGGACACACACGGACAGCCACAGACGUCAUGUGUGUGCUGACGGACACCCACGGACGUCCUGUGUGUGCUGACGGACACACACAGACAGCCACAGACGUCAUGUGUGUGCUGACGGACACCCACGGACGUCCUGUGUGUACUGAACAGACAGCCCACGUGGGCCAAAAUCACCCGAAUAGUCCACGGGAAGGGCCAGCGUGCUGAGUCCAAGGACCAGCGUUCUGAUAUGUGUACUGAUGGACAGCCACAGACGUCCUGUGUCUGCUGACGGACACACACGGACAGCCACAGACGUCAUGUGUGUUCUGACGGACAGCCACAAACAGCCAUGGACAUCCUGUGUCUGCUGGCGGACACCCACGGACGUCCUGUGUGUACUGAACAGACAGCCCAUGUGGGCCAAAAUCACCCAAACAGUCCACAGGAAGGGCAAGACUGCUGAGUCCAUGAUACAGGCCGGGAAUCAGAUUGCACGGACGGACGGUCUGAGAUUCAAGAACUCGGACUGGACAGAACGGACGGACGGCUAUGGGACGGCUAGACGGACGCGAUGGAGUGGGAGAUGGCCGAUCUGGUUCCUGAAACAAAAGGGUGCUAUUUUUAUGAGUUUUUAUGAAUCAAAAUGAUGAACAGAAAGAGAACUAUAUGAUAAAUGAAGAACGGAAGCAAAUAGAACUUUUUAUGGGUUUUUAUAAUGAAUGGAAAAAUCUAGAACUAUAUGAUGCGAGAUAAAACAAAAUAAGAGAAGGAUAGAGGUAUGGGGGAUGGAUCCUUGUUGCUGGAUGUGUAUCUCUCUCAACAAGAACGGUGGAUGGAGGUGGAUAGAUAUGGGAUUUGGCUUGCUGGAUGUGUAUCACUCUCAAGGCAAAUCGAUGGAUGGAAUGGAGGUGAAGAAUCGCCACAAGCUUCGUGGUUUGAAGCUUGAUAAGAUUCGGCUGCUCUCUCUUGUUUCUCACAGAAAAAGACUUAGGGUUUUAGGUUUGCAAAGGCAAAAUUAUUUCAUAAAAGACUUAGGCAAAAAUCGCCAACUUCAUGGAGUUAUAUAGGGUUUACCCCUUAUGGGACUCAAAGAUAAAAGGCCUUAAACAAGCUGGCCGAAAAUGAGGCUGAAACAAUAGCCCAAAGUCUUAACCAAAUAAAUUAAAAUAAACCAGACAUCUGGUUGUCGGUUUGAGAAGGCCUAGACCAAGGCUAAUAGCAUGCUUGCAUGUUGCCUCAUUAAAACCUUACCAAGAAAACCCAAUGGGACAAAACCUGGUGAGGAAAAAGAGUGCAACACAUGCUACUCCCCUUGGUGGUUGGCUAGAUCUCAGAACCGGGAAGAGUUGGAGUGGAUGAAAUGGAAACUGAGUCUGGACCAAGCUCGGAUGUGGAAAUGAGAAGUCCAGUUUGGUUGAGUCUAAACUGGAUCGGGUCGGCCGCGUCCUGAACCUCCUUUGGGCCGGCUUGAUCUUGAAUCUUCAACUGGACCAUCUUCUCAAUCAGCAGCUGGUCCUGGUCAGUCUGUCCAUCUUGAUCAAGGAUUUGUUGGACAGUUUUGGUGAAACCUUCUCGCAAGGCCCUUGUUCCACUCCGGGUAGUCGGACCGCGCCUAACUAUGGGAACCUCUACUUGGAUGGCCUCAUCAG
rnacentral:lncRNA from 1 species